UACGGGGGGGGGCAAGCGUUGUUCGGAAUUACUGGGCGUAAAGGGCUCGUAGGCGGCCAACUAAGUCGGAUGUGAAAUCCCCAGGCUUAACCUGGGAACUGCAUCCGAUACUGGAUGGCUUGAAUCCGGGAGAGGGAUGCAGAAUUCCAGGUGUAGCGGUGAAAUGCGUAGAUAUCUGGAGGAAUACCGGUGGCGAAGGCGGCAUCCUGGACCGGCAUUGACGCUGAGGAGCGAAAAGCUAGGGGAGCAAACGGG
rnacentral:rRNA from 1 species